rnacentral:rRNA from 1 species
UUGGUGAUAUAAUGGCUCACCAAGGCGACGAUCCGUAACUGGUCUGAGAGGAUGAUCAGUCACACUGGAACUGAGACACGGUCCAGACUCCUACGGGAGGCAGCAGUGGGGAAUAUUGGACAAUGGGCGAAAGCCUGAUCCAGCCAUGCCGCGUGUGUGAAGAAGGUCUUCGGAUUGUAAAGCACUUUAAGUUGGGAGGAAGGGCAGUUACCUAAUACGUAAUUGUUUUGACGUUACCGACAGAAUAAGCACCGGCUAACUCUGUGCCAGCAGCCGCGGUAAUACAGAGGGUGCAAGCGUUAAUCGGAAUUACUGGGCGUAAAGCGCGCGUAGGUGGUUCGUUAAGUUGGAUGUGAAAUCCCCGGGCUCAACCUGGGAACUGCAUUCAAAACUGUCGAGCUAGAGUAUGGAGAAGGGGGG